UGGAAACCAGAGCCUCUGUGAAUCUGUGGCCAGAAGCAGGACUUUGUGGACAUCUGUUAGUGGCUGUUUCCAGCACAGACAGGGCCUGGUACCAAGAGUAACUGCUGAAGUCUCCAGUGCUACAGCAACUGAAGAGCAAAAUUGGGUGCCUGGAGGAAAAGUAGUCUGGUUCAACUGAGCUCUGUCUGAAAAGCAGGUUACCGUGGCUUAAUGAAUUAUCCUGAGUUUGCAGAACAACGUGUUCCCUUACCUGAAAGGGCCCUGGUUUGCAUGCUGAUACAUUGCAUGACUGACGGACUGAUCAUCUUGUUGGUUUGACUUCCCAGAGCUGGAGGAAUCAAGACCAUCCGUGGCUGAUAAGCCAGGAACCGCCGACUUGGCUAAGCCACAGAAUCCCAAUGGAUUCCAAUGGAGUCAACAAAUGGAGCUGUCGCUGUAACCUGACACGUAAAGGGGGCGAGAUGCACGACAUGGAGCAGCACCCAGAUCGAUCUAUCUCAUCAUUCACAUGCAGGAAAUCAAUCAGAGAGUGGUGCAAUUCACAUGAAAAUAAGACAUAAUGCAGCAGAGGCCCUGGGUCCCAGGGUGAGACAUGAUACUAAGAUGCAAG
rnacentral:lncRNA from 1 species